GGGUGAAGUUCAGUUCCGAUACUGUAAGGGUCCCGGCCCUGAAGAGGGCCGAUCCUGUC
rnacentral:ncRNA from 1 species